ensembl:lncRNA
CUUAUUCAAAAAUGAAUUUAAAAAUAUUGUUUACAAGGUUUCUUUGUUGGCAGGCUAACCUGAAGAGAGAGAGAAGAGAAGUUAGUGAGUGCACGACUACUUAUAAGCUGCUGUAAGGUGUGAGGAUAGGAACUAACUUGUUUUUGGUCACCAACGCUUUUUCCGGGGCGUGGCUUGUUGUACUGGCUCCUCCCGUAGUCGGAGUGGUUUGUGAUUUCUGUUUCCGGCUCGACGGGAAUUUUAAAAGCUCGCCUACUGCUCGUGUACUCAGUGUGAACACCGGGUUAUCUCAAAGUCAUUCAUACUUUAAAUGCGACUUUAUUCGGCAAAAAUUAAAUAGCCUAAAUAUAGACUAAACAUGGCCUCGGAUUGUCACUUCAACUCCAUAUCCAAGGAGGAAGAGGAGGGAGAGGAAUUUGAUCGGAUGCUGGAGCGGAUCGGUGGAAAGGGGAAUAUUUAUUUGGUAGGAGACACGGAUGGAGAAAACAACUGCAGCCUUUUCCAGGAGUUUAUCAUGGACAUGUUUCACACCGAGGUGCACAUCAAGAGGGACAAAAACGCAAAUCUCGGCAACGGGAACAUCAAAUCUGCCGCUGCGAGAAACUGUCCUGUUUCUGAUGUGGCUCAAGGAAAAGGCGAGAAUAACGCCGACGUGGACGAGAAAUGUGUCCGACACAUGCGCAAAAUCUCCGGUCACAGCGGACGAGCGAUUCAUUGCGCCGCCAUCAUCUUCAUUUUCAGACACGGAUACAUUCAGAACAAGGCGAACCAUGUGUGUAUGGAGGAGAUCCUGAAGGACAUAAAGGUUCGAGUGAAGAAAAAUCAUGGAGUUCAUCAGGCGGUACUGGGCCUCGUUCGUGCUGACGCUGAAAGCUCGGAGACUCGCGAGUCUGUGUCGCUCUUGGAGGGGACAGUGAGAUCUGUGUUCAUAAAACAUCCACACAACUCCAUAUGGAUUGGCCAUUUUAUUCCUAACGCAGCAGAUUGCAUAGAGAACAUCAAAAGGAACAUCUGCAAAGCUGUGAAUGAGUCUCAGAGCCCAGAUAACAUCUUGAGCCGUAAGCGAAAUAUUUUCUGGCCGUUGUUACAGUGCUGGAUCAGGAGAGGACGUAGAGAACGAGCCGAAGCGACAACAUAUGCUCAGGCACAGAAAGGUGAUCCUGAAAGCACAGAGGAAGGAAUUCCAUUACAGAUGAAAUCUGGCUUACAGUCCUGACAUCAGGUUUAUUAACAGACUGAUAAUGACCACAUGACCUGUGAAAUGCCCAGAAAGCUGAAAUACCUGCUGUGUUUGAUUUAUUAACUGACAGGAAUGUUGAAGGAGCAUCGGGAUAUGAAGAUUACUGAUGAAGCUGCUGCUCCUCGGUACUCCUUCAAAAUAAAAUUUCAAAGACAUUGCAAACAUUUUUUUUUGUCUUUGACAACCACGAAAAGGAUGUCAGUCACCAAACAGUGCCUCUGUUAAAGUUUUAAAGGGAGUUAAUUAGAGUAACUUACAUUUUUACAUUUGGAUUGAUCUGAAUUGUGUACUAAUUUUGUCAGGCAAUAUAUACUAGAACAGUCUAGGAUUUCAAUUAAUAGGUUAAUACAUGUAGAGCUUAAUUGUUUGCUAACAUAUUAGACAUUAAAUGUCUUAUUUUAAUUGUAUAAUUAUAUGUAGCAUCUUUAACAGUAGUCAUUGCAGUGAGUUUUCAGUCUUUGCUUUAAGUUUAAGUUCAAUUUCAAUUGCUUUUUUAUAUUUUAGUUUAAGUUUUAGUUUCCACAGUUUUAGUUGUGAACACAGAAGUGGUUUGCCAUCAUUGGAACUUUUGGGGGAAAAAAAAAAAUUUGUUUUCCACUUUAAACUAGAAUUCGCAUUGCAAAUACAUGGUUAAAAAUAAAUAAAUAAAUAAUCAAAUUCUUACUGCACACUUUUUCUAUUUAGUAUCUGAGGUGUUAUAUAUAUUUUGUUGUCAUAAUUGUCUUACAUUUUCAUAAUUGCUAACUGUAAAAGUGUUUAUGAAGCAGGUUUACAGAAAUCUGGGUCUGGACUCCUUAUGGGUAACUCAAGAAGGGGCAGAAACAAAAGAACAAAAAGAACAUUAGAAGAAAAACCUUUGAGUGGAACUGAGACUUAAAAAGCAAACAAUCAUCCUUUGGUAGCCACCUGGAGAGUGCAGUUACAACAGGAGAUGGACAAUGUGUAGGAAAAGUGGGCCUAACAAAGGAACUCUGCUCAAAUAAACAUCCUGGAGAUACGACCAGAAAUAAAACGCUAAAUUAGUGUUAGAACAUAAAAGGAGGAAUGCUGAAGAAAGGAUCCAGAAAAGAUUAGAAUCUUGUACUGGGUUUGCUCGGUCAAGCUAAUGUGUAGCUGAUUGAAAAUCAUGACACGGCAGGAGUUUAAAAGCGGUUUUGGAGUUUUAAGCACUUCAGUGAUACCACCCAAAUAAUAUCUGCUUCUAUGGUGGUCCUUUUCUGUUAAUGGAUAGGGUAACGGGGGGCCUAGAUUUUUAACACUGUAUAGUAGAUCGAGAUUAUAAACUGCUAUUUGGUAGUGUGUGAACAUUACUUUGCUAAGGGGUGAUGCUUCAAGACACCACAUGCACCUCUCUGAGAAAAUAAAAUAAAAUUGAGUCCAUCUCUGCUCUUACUUAUGUAAGUACAGUUUGGUACCUUUAUUUCUGAGAGUUUGUAAUGUAAUAUUAUUUCUACUAAUAAUAAUAAUAUGAGGUGAUGAUAUAUUCAUAAUAAUGGUAAUAAAUUAUAUUAGAAAUAAACUUAGAAAUAAUUGCAGUCACCUUCAGAGAAAAAAAACUAUAUAAAGUGAAGCGAAUGAGAAUUGUUUAGUGAGUAAAACACCUGAGCCAGCAGGUGAGUGUUACAAAUAGCACAUUUUGAGAUUAUGAAUGUUAAUUGGAAGGAUAUUAAGUGUGGAAGACUUAAAGUUCCCUUCAUUUUAACAUGAAUCUAGAUAUACAUUUUGACUGUAGGGCCCGUUUCUUGUUUUUCACCUCUUGGUCUAAAUCAGGUCACAUUAAGCCUCCUUUAGCCUUUAUUAUCCCCCACAGGUGGCACCAAACACUUUCACAAUAGUGCUGGAAUGCAACUAGUUCACAGGAGGGAUUACAUGUUUGACAGGUUCACUACAGAGAUAUUAAAAUGGUUUAAGUGUAUGCCUCAAUUUUACAUAAUUAAUUUCAAGUAAUAAUGCAUCUUUUCUCUUCUCCUAUACCUAUGUUUUAAAAUGUGGCUCUUUAUUGUCAUUGUGAAACUACAUUAGCUUUCCAUACCUAUUACUAACAGUGUAAAAAUCAAUAAUUAAAAAAAUACACAUUUCAACUAGAACUCCUCUCGUGCAAUAAGCAGCCUAUUAUUCACAUUGAAAAGAGCAUGGCUUACAAACCCACAGAGAACAGAUCAUAUUAAAAUAGUCAUUAUAAAUUUAUCAUUAUCAUGAAUAAAACCCAACAACAUUUGACAUUGCUUUUAUCUCACAUGUUAAAAUAUGCACUGUUCAUUUUUCAUGUGCC